rnacentral:tRNA from 1 species
GGGAGUUUAGUAUAAUAGUAUUAUUUAUGCCUUCCAAGCAUAGGAUCCAUAUUUGGAACUUUCA